AUGCUAAUUUUGAAGUUUAUGGUGGUGCAAUGGGAUUGAGUUCUUGCUGUUCAUAUAUGGUGGGGCUCCAUACCAGACUCAGGAGAGUAAGCUUAGGAGAGGUGUUGAUAUUGUUGUUGGCACUCCAGGUCGCGUGAAGGAUCAUAUAGAGAGGGAAAAUAUUGACCUGAUCCAGCUAAAGUUCCGUGUCCUUGAUGAGGCUAAUGAGAUGCUCAGAAUGAGUUUUGUUGAAGAUGUGGAACUAAUUUUAGGCAAGGUACAAGAUGUUAGCAAAGUUCAUACACUUCUUUUCAAUACUACUUUGCCAGACUGGGUUAAACAUAUUUCUGGAAAAUUUCUGAAACUAGAUAAAAAAAAUUGCAGAUCUGGUGGGAAAUGCAAAAAUGAAGGCUAGCACCAAUGUUAGACAUAUUGUUCUUCCAUGUAACGUUUCUGCCAGGGCCCAGCUUAUCCCAGACAUUAUACGCUGUUAUAG